rnacentral:rRNA from 1 species
AUUGAACGCUGGCGGCAGGCCUAACACAUGCAAGUCGAGCGAGCGGCGGACGGGUGAGUAAUGUAUGGGGACUGCCCGAUAGAGGGGGAUAACUACUGGACACGGUAGCUAAUACCGCAUACUAUCGGAUAACCCAUAUGGGAUUAGCUAGUAGGUGAGGUAAUGGCUCACCUAGGCGACGAUCCCUAGCUGGGCUGAGAGGAUGAUCAGCAACACUGGGACUGAGACACGGCCCAGACUCCUACGGAGGCAGCAGUGGGGAAUAUUGCACAAUGGGCGCAAGCCUGAUGCAGCAAUGCCGCGUGUAUGAAGAAGGCCCUAGGGUUGUAAAGUACUUUCAGUCGGGAGGCGUUACCGACAGAAGAAGCAACGGCUAACUCCGUGCCAGCAGCCGCGGUAAGUC